AAGUCGUAACAAGGUUUCCGUAGGUGAACCUGCGGAAGGAUCAUUAUUGAAUAAACCUGAUGUGACUGUUAGCUGGCUUUUCGAAGCAUGUGCUCGUCCGUCAUCUUUAAUCUCUCCACCUGUGCACAUUUUGUAGUCUUGGAUACCUCUCGAGGCAACUCGGAUUUUAGGAUUGCCGUGCUGUAAAAGUCAGCUUUCCUGUCAUUUCCAAGACUAUGUUUUUAUAUACACCAAAGUAUGUUUAAAGAAUGUCAUCAAUAGGAACUUGUUUCCUAUAAAAUUAUACAACUUUCAGCAACGGAUCUCUUGGCUCUCGCAUCGAUGAAGAACGCAGCGAAAUGCGAUAAGUAAUGUGAAUUGCAGAAUUCAGUGAAUCAUCGAAUCUUUGAACGCACCUUGCGCUCCUUGGUAUUCCGAGGAGCAUGCCUGUUUGAGUGUCAUUAAAUUCUCAACCUUCCAGCUUUUAUUAGCUUGGUUAGGCUUGGAUGUGGGGGUUGUGGGCUUCAUUAAUGAGGUCAGCUCUCCUUAAAUGCAUUAGCGGAACUUUUGUGGACCGUCUAUUGGUGUGAUAAUUAUCUACGCCGUGGAUGUGAAGCAGCUUUAUAAAGUUCAGCUUCUAAUCGUCCAUUGACUUGGACAAUAUUCGACAAUUUGACCUCAAAUCAGGUAGGACUACCCGCUGAACUUAAGCAUAUCAAUAAGCGGAGGAAAAGAAACUAACAAGGAUUCCCCUAGUAACUGCGAGUGAAGCGGGAAAAGCUCAAAUUUAAAAUCUGGCAGUCUUUGGCUGUCCGAGUUGUAAUCUAGAGAAGUAUUAUCCGCGCUGGACCGUGUACAAGUCUCCUGA
rnacentral:rRNA from 1 species